GUUCAAUGGAAGUGAGUGCUUCUCACAAAACACGAAUAAAAAAAAGGUUAAUGCAAUCAGCUGUUUUUGACAUUUGCUUCGAACCUCACAUUUCUUCAACCGUUCACAGUAUCGGUACAUGGAUUUGAAAAAAGACGCGGCGCAUACAUCCAAAGCGACACUAUUUUUGUAUUACGCUCAUUUCAGUUGGCUACUCGUUUAGAUAAGAAAUUGCAAAUCGAAAAAACAAAGAAAUAAGCACCGAAACAAACUGGUAUUUGUAAUAAAUGUAUAUAAUGUUCACUUUCACCGAACUACAGAUUUUGUGUGCAGAAUCAAUAUUUCUAAAGUACAGCCUAGCACUUUUAAUUUUCAUAAUCAUAAAACAAGUUUGGUCGCGACAAUUUGCAUGUAGUGGAAACGAAAAGAGCCAAAUUGAAAAGAAGGUCAUUGAUAUUGGACAGAGCAUUUCGAUUGAUUCAACUAACGAUGGCGCCGACGACGACGACAAUGACUAUAAUACAAACUAUGUCGAUGACUAUAAACCUCACUUACCAGAACGUGAGCAUAUUCCCUAUGGCGGAUUAACCGAGUGCUUGGACAGAAGUGGUGAAUUAUUUUACAAAUUAACCAAUGAUCGUAGAAGUAUUCGUAAAUUUAAUAAAAAUAAACCAGUCGACAUUGGAGUCAUUAAAAAGUGCAUCUUGACAGCAGGUACUUCGCCCAGCGGGGCUCAUACCGAACCAUGGACGUUUUGUGUGAUUCAAGAUGCACAAAUUAAGCGCAAAAUUCGUGAAAUUAUCGAAACCGAAGAAUACUUGAACUACAAACAACGUAUGUCAAGACAAUGGACAGCUGAUUUACGGCCACUCAAAACCGACUUUAUAAAGGAAUAUCUAACUGAUGCACCAUUCAUAAUAUGCGUAUUCAAACAAGUUUAUGGAAUUCGUUCAGAUGCAACGAAACAACGACAUUAUUACAAUGAAAUCUCCGUAUCGAUUGCAACUGGCAUAUUGUUAUGUGCACUAAAUGCCGCCGGAUUGAAUUCAUUGGUGACUACACCACUGAAUUGCGGUCCAGCCAUUAAAAACUUACUGAAUCGUCCUCAAAAUGAAAAGCUGCUUGUUCUCUUACCAGUCGGUUAUUCUGCUGAUGAUUGCCUUGUGCCAGACCUUCAACGAAAACCACUCGAUCAGAUUAUGAUCACAUACUAAAUUGAUACAACAAAAUUAUUCGAACGAUAAAAAAGAGUUAGAGAGAGAGAGAAUCGGAAAGUAUCUGUCUCGUAUAAAAGGCACAAACAUUUAAUUUUAAAAAACACCCAAAUAUUGCCUUAUAAAUGAUUAGGUAUAUGUAUAUUUUCAUUUCGUCUAAAAAAUGGAGCGAAAAAAGUAUAACUUGAUCGAAUGAUUUACAUGCACGAGAUAUAUAUGUGUUUAUAUGUGAGCCGACCUGAAGAAUAUUGUAUCGUAUUUGAUUCACUUGGAUUUUGAGUAAAAUUACAAAAAGUCGAGAAAAAUAUAUAUAAAAAAUACUUGUCACUGCAAGAAUGUAGAGUGUACGCAAUUUUGAUAUUUUGAAUGAUUAUUAAUUAUUCUAAAUUGUGCUCUUUUCGCCAUCAUAAAUUAGUUCCUCUCGUUAAUUUUACAAAAAAAAAAUCGAAUCCCAAGUCAAUUUGCUCUUGCUAGCUUGUUUUAUGGCUUUUGAACAAUGGAUCCAUUUUCGGUGAUCGUCGAUUGCAAAAUAAAUUAUUGUAAAGUAUUAUAAUAAAUCUGAGAAUUUAAAUGCA